GGAAAUAGGAGGUGUUUGAGAUUUGGAAUGGGCGCUAGAAGAUUUUCCCAAUUUGGAUGUGGCAUAGACCGUGCCAGCUGCCCAUCAAAAGAAGGCAUUGUUUAGCAUUGCUUUGAAUAAGUAUUUUUUGUUUAAAAAGUAUUUUUGAAAGAAAAAUUGUGUUAGAUAAAUUAUUUUUGAUUAAAAUUUUUGAUUUUUCAAAAAUACUUUUUAUUGCUUAAUUACUUUUUUAUCUCGAAAGAACAUGGUAUUUUCCCUUCUAUGUUUCUUUGGUUCUCCCUUCUCUUUCAUUUCUCUUUUUCUUUCAUUUUCUCCAGGAGUUUUUGCUACUACUCUCUCUCUCUCUCUCUCUCUUUUUCUUUCUACUCUCCUAAUCCCAUCUUCUCAUUUCAAAUCCCUAUUUAAGUUUCUCGUUUUUCCCCGAUUUCAGAUUGUAUCUCAUCAGUACCUUCUAGAGUUUUGUUUGAAGCUAUGCUGAAACUUCUGAAGAACAUGAAACUUGUCCUUUGAUACGUAUAGAGAUGAUGCACGACUGUCAGAAGUAUAUUGCUAUAAGGUCAGAGAAAGAAUUGACAUUUAUAUCAUCCUAGCUCACUAGAUGACAAGAUCCUAUUUGAAAGAUGUAGCAUAUAUUUUUUUGUAGUUUAGGAUGCCUGAACGAUUAUAAGUUCCUCUUUUUCAAUCUUGUUUAACACUCGAAUCUUCUUAUUCUUGCCUUUGAUUGUUAGUAGUUAAGGUAUUCAUUUGGUAUUUAAUUAUUGGUAGUGCAAUGUUUUUUCAA